rnacentral:lncRNA from 1 species
AUUCAGUCCUUGAUCUAGAGAGGGAAGUCAGCCCAUUGAAUUAACUGGAAUCACGAUGGUAGCGUCUUCAUGGAGACCUGCUCCUUACUGGAUAAUGAGCCCUAGUUACAAAGUUAACAUCGCAUGAUGGUCCUAGCCAAGCUUAUCUGAAAACUCGUCAUAUGAAGGUUCCAACACAGUAAAUCAAAGACUACAAUAACCUGGGCCAUUCACUAUGGUUACAAGCAGAUGAUACAGCUUUAAGCAGGUUCAGACUCCAGCCAAACACAGUUCUGUAUUGAAUAAGAUUCUGCAUCAAUGAGGAGAAGUGUCAUAGGAGGCCUCAUGAGACACCAGAUGACCAAUUACAGGAGAAUCAUCAGAAAGAGAACAAGAAAGACUGAGGUAAAAAUGACUAAUGGUGUUUUUGUGCUCCCU